CUGCUCAAUGAAUUUUAUUUUCAAAUAGCUACAAUAUUUUAAUUGUACGAAGGUAGCAUAAUCAUUUGUCUUUUAAUUAAAGAAUUGAAUGAAAGAUUAUAUAAAAUAUUAACUAUAUAAAUUUAAUAAAAAUUCAAAUUUUAUUUUCAAGUAAAAAAUCUUAAAUAUAAUUAUUAGACGAUAAAACCCUAUAGAACUUUAUAUAAUAUAACUUUGAAUGAAAAUUUAAUUAUUUAAAUUAAUUAUUCAUUAUAUUAAAUUGGGGGUGUUAAAAUAUCAAAAUAAUUUUUUUAUAAAAUUUAUCAUUGAAUUUAUGAAAAUAUUUAAAAGAGUGUUUACAUAAAAAUUAUUAAAUUAAGUUACCUUAGGGAUAACAGUAUAAUUUUUUUUUCAAUCUUUUAUUGAUAAAAAAGAUUAUGACCUCGAUGUUGAAUUAAGAUAAAUAUUAAAAGAAAAU
rnacentral:rRNA from 1 species